rnacentral:lncRNA from 1 species
UUUCAUUUACCCCUUUUGCUGGUAAUGAUCGUUUCUCCCCCCGAUUGGUCAUCAUUUUUAUACUCAGUAUUCGGUAUCCCAAUGUCCUUUCUUUUCGGUUGAUCUGUCCGUUAUUAACCCAGUAACCGGUUGUAGAUAAUCUUCCAUGCGAGUAUGUUAUCUAUGUUCUGACGGUAAUAGAUAAUAUAUCUCAUGCGCUCUUCAGUCGAAGUCUUUUUCU